rnacentral:rRNA from 1 species
UACGGGGGGGAGCAAGCGUUGUUCGGAUUUACUGGGCGUAAAGGGCGCGUAGGCGGUCGUGACAAGUCACUUGUGAAAUCUCCGGGCUUAACUCGGAACGGUCAAGUGAUACUGUCGGACUAGAGUACAGAAGGGGCAACUGGAAUUCUCGGUGUAGCGGUGAAAUGCGUAGAGAUCGGGAGGAACACCAGAGGCGAAGGCGGCGACCUGGACAGGCACGUGACACUCAACUACGAAAGCGUGGGGAGCAAACAGG